rnacentral:rRNA from 1 species
GUGUCAGCAGCCGCGGUAAUACGGAGGGUGCGAACGUUAAUCGGAAUCACUGGGCGUAAAGCGCGCGUAGGCGGUUUGUUAAGUGGGAUGUGAAAGCCCCGGGCUUAACCUGGGAAUUGCAUUUCAAACUGGCGAACUAGAGUGCGGUAGAGGGAGGUAGAAUUUCCUGUGUAGCGGUGAAAUGCGUAGAUAUAGGAAGGAAUACCAGUGGCGAAGGCGGCCUCCUGGAUCGACACUGACGCUAAGGCGCGAAAGCGUGGGGAGCAAACAGGAUUAGAUACCCCGGUAGUCC